CCACGAGCUUUCAAACGGUUGAGAUCCGGUGCCCAAGACAGGAGAAAAGUGAACCGUAUUGCUGGGGACUCCAAUGCUCAUCGGAUUAAGGAUAUUCUUCCUGACGAUAUAGCUGUCAAAUGCCUGCCAAUCUCUGGUGCCAAAUUUUCUUGUGAUCGUUUUCGCCAUGCAUUGUUGAGAGACUUGCGGAAGAUGGAUGUUCAACAGCUGUAUCUUCAUCUAGGCUCAAAUGACAUUCUUACGAAUGAAGCGGUGUUUUACCGGAGGCGCACAAUCGGUGUCCAGAAUGCAGGGUUGUUUGCUCCAACGAUGACGCUUUGCUGAGCCACUUCUGCAGUCGCCAUAUCAAGCAACCAGAGACUGGAAAAGAGAGUAAAAUUAAGCUGAUAGGCUCACCAAUGGUAUGACUUUCAAUCACUUACUUGUGUAUGCUUGACAAGCAUUUUAUGUACAAAUAAAGUAACAAAAAAGGAGGUCAACACAUGCACUUUCCCAUAUAAUGCUUUCUGUAUCUUUUAGCAACUAAUGACACGAUUUUGUGUUGACAUACUCAAUAUGAUAGUUAUAGCCCUAUAUAACUGGUAUGUUCAUUUUAGUUAAUCUUUCUAUUUUAAUUAAACCUGUUUGUUUAGCUAGAUUGCUUGAAAAACACAACCAGGAUUAUUUUUAUGCCCCCGGAUCGAAAGAUCAGGGGUAUAUUGUUUUUGGCCUGUCUGUCAUUGUAUGUGUCCGUGUGUGUGUGUGUGUUCCAAAACUUUAACCAAAACUUUAACCUUCUUCAUAACUUUUGCAAUAUUGAACGUAGCAACUUGAUAUUUGGCAUGCAUGUGUAUCUCAUGGAGCUGCACAUUUUGAGUGGUGAAAGAUCAAGGUAAUCCUUCAAGGUCAAAGGUAAAAAAAAUUAAUCAAAGUGGCGCAUUAGGGGGCAUUGUGUUUCUGACAACCACAUCUCUUGUUAGCAUUGUCUUACCCCUGUUACAUGCAAUGUACAUGUGGCUUAUUAAAUUGGAAACCCUGGUUUGCAUGAGAAUAUUUUGCAAAACAUUGUUGAAAAAAACAUACAUGUAUACAAACUUAGUCAUUACUGUUAGUAUAAUGAGCACCUCUAUUUCUGAAUAUUUUGAUUGGAUGGUUAUGGGCCUUUAUGCGUGUGUCACAUUUAUGUAUGUGAAAGUGUGUAAUUAGACAAAAGAAUUUUUUAUUUUUUUAUUUUUUGGGUAACAAUCACUUAUUUUAGAGUUAUUUAUAAGUAAAUCUUACAGAUUGCAUCUGCUAAUCAUGAACUCAACAAAGUCAGCUCAAGGAAGUGGAAGGCAUGCUUGGAAAUAGAAGUUUCCAUUAUGAAGGCAAAUUUUAGUAUAUUUCAAAUUUGUAACCAAAUGAAGUGUCAAGAUCUUAAAUGAAAAUUUGAUUGAACAUUAGUUAUCUGUCAAGAGAAUCAUUUUGAAGCGAAUAAAUUAAGUAUUGCCUAUUGUCUAUAAGUUUAUUGUGUGACCUGAACCCUGUGAGGGAUAUUACUUAUUUGUAAACGCCGGUUUUUAAAAACGGGACGUAUUAUAGUUUCACCCUUGGCGGGCGGCGGCGUCCAUAACAGUGUCCGUUCUCUAAUUCAAAUAGUUUUCAUCCGAUCUUCACCAAACUUGGUCAGAAGUUGUAUCUAGACAAUAUCUAGGUCAAGUUCGAAUAUGGGUCAUGCCAGGUCAAAAACUAGGUCACGGGGUCACUUAGUGCAUUUGAAGGAUUUAGCAUUGGUGGCUCUCUAAUUGGAGUAGUUUUCAUUUGAUCUUUACCAAAUUUGGUCAUAAGUUGUGUGUAAAUGAUAUCUAGGUCAAGUUCAAAUAUGGGUCAUGCCGGGUCAAAAACUAGGUCGCGAGGUCACUAAGAGCAUUUCAUGCAUUUCGCAUGGUGUCUGCUCUCUUAUUGAAGUAGUUUUCAUCCAAUCUUCACAAACUUUGGUCAGAAGUUUUAUCUAGACAAUAUCUAGGUCAAGUUCAAUUAUGGGUCAUGCCGGGUCAAAAACAAGGUCAGGGGUUCACUUAGUACAUUUCAAGGAUUAAGCAUGGUGUCCGCUCUCUAAUUGAAGUAGUUAUCAUCCGAUCUUCACCAAAUUUGGUCAGAAAUUGUGUCAAAAUGUUAUCUAGGUCAAGUUCAAAUAUGGGUCACGCCAGGUCAAAAACUAGGUCACGAGGUCACUUAGUGCAUUUCAAGCAUUUAGCACGGUGUCCACUCUCUUAUUGAAGUAGUUUUCAUCUGAUCUUCAACAAAUGUGGUCAGAAGUUGUAUCUAGACAAUAUCUAGUUCAAGUUCAAAUAUGGGUCAUGCUGGGUCACAAACUAGUUCACAGGGUGCAUUUCAAGGAUUUAGCAUGGUGUAAGCUCUUUAAUUGAAAGAGUUUUCAUCCGAUCUUCACCAAAUUUGGGCAGAAGUUGUGUCUUAAUGAUAUCUAAGUCAAGUUCAGAUAUAGGUCAUGCCGGGUCGAAAACUAGGUCACUUAGUGCAUUUCCAGCGUUUAGCAUGGUGUCCAAAACCUUCAAACGGGUGUAUCUUGUGACAGUUUGGCACUCUUGUUUAUUACAUUAAAAGCCACUCACCUUGAAAUGAAAUACAUGUUAAUCAGUACAUAUAGAUGCAAUUUGAAAGUGUGCAAAAUUGUCAUUAAAUCUAUAGCCUAGUUAGCAAGUAAUUUAUUUUUUUAUAUUUUAAAACUGAAUGUAUGAUUUGUAUACGUACAUGUUCAAUUCAAGAAACACAAUUAUUUUUAAGUUUUAAAGCACAAAAAAGACGGAUUUCUACCUUGCAACCACCAGAUAUAUUCUAAUUGGCAAAGAUAAAAUAUGUUUCUUAUUUAUGUCCAAAUUUACUAUGCCAGAUAUUUCAUUUCAAGGUGUGUGGCUUUAAGGAAUGUUUUUUUAAAUGGGUAUAUUACCAAGAUCUGCACAGCCAGGAUGAUAUUAACCUUCAGAAGUUAAAGCUUUCUGAGAAUUUUAAGGCUUGCCUUUUAUACUUGAAAUGAUAAAUCAUUAACAUGUUUUUUUCUUUAGGAACUUACAAACA